CAACCCUGCGCGUUUGUACACUCGAGCAAAACAUUCGUCGGGCCGGGAGGACACUUAAGAUUGCAGAACGAGAGUGCAAAAGGGUCGUAAAAAAAGCUCGACCUGUGCAGAGAAAGGUGCAUUAACGUUCUGAAUAGAAGAGGAAUCUAGGGGUCAUUAAAUUGUCGCAUCCGGAGAGUCUCGGCCUACAUCAAUGGACUGGACGAACAACGGUGACCAACCAUGCUGGACUGCGACAUCAAAAUCGAGAUCGACAGCAUGAUUGGCGGCCAAUUCAAAGCUUGGCUUCGACUUUAUUGAACCCUCACCGCUCGAGCUCGAUGACUUUGCCUUUUUUUUAACUAAACUAGCUAAAUCCAAGGCACUCUCAAUUCUCUUGAGGUUAGAACUUCAAAAUUAUAACUAUAGUCAGAACUCAUAAAGAAAAUACAGAAGAUUCGGCAUAAUAAUGUAAAUGGUGUCAGUUCAUGGCAGUGCAGCGCUAGUUUCCGUGAUGGGGAGUCGAAUUGAGGUCUUUGGCAUGAUAGAUCCGUACUCUACUAACUAAUAGCUGCUGAACUCGGCGUUGAAUUAUAACUUUAUUAUCUAUUAAUAACUGGAUAAAUAACAGUUUCAACUUUUAUUUCGAUCUAGUAAGAGAUAUUCACAAACAAUUCUAUAACAGCAAAUCGUAAAAUAUAAUUUCAAGUAUUUUGUACAUAUUCUUAAAAUUUUAAUGUUCAUUCCAUUGCAUAUUCUAUUGGUGUGAACUUUUACGAGUAAAGUUUUAACUGAAAUAA